UACAGAAUACGUUUACAACAGGCAGGUUUAGCAUAAAUGCAAAGUUGUUGUUUUUUGGGGAUUUAUUAUUGCCCAAGAAAUCUCUGAACAUAUUCAGAAUUUUUGAGAGCAGCAAGUAAGACAGCAGAUUGCAAUGGACACCAUUACAAUAUUGCUUUGCCGAUUGAGGUCAGAGCUUUAAAGAAUAAAUAAAUAAAUGUUCUAUAGCGCGCUAGAUCACUGGCUUUUAAUGAACAGUUUGCACAACACUUAUAAAUAGUUUGU